GGUCUGAUAGCACAGUGGUUAGUGCAUCUACUUAAUAUGUGGAUUUUCCGGUUCUCUUUAGUAGAAGAUCCCCGUUCGAAUCGGGGUCAGGCCA